rnacentral:rRNA from 1 species
CUGGCGGCCGUAGCGCGGUGGUCCCACCUGACCCCAUGCCGAACUCAGAAGUGAAACGCCGUAGCGCCGAUGGUAGUGUGGGGUCUCCCCAUGCGAGAGUAGGGAACUGCCAG